rnacentral:misc_RNA from 1 species
AAAAAGAAAAAGAAGACAAGAACCAGGAGAUGACUCUUCCCAACCAGCCUCACCUAGCUCCACCUCUCAGCUGAAUUACAAGGAUUUCCAAGAUGCCUUUCUCAGUAAAUUCUCCUUCCAUUUAUUCCUCCAGUCUUCUUCAUUUUGUUAGAAUCUCCAGGUGGCUCUUCUUCUGCAACUUCCUCUAACAAACCCAUCUUUCCAGCUGUACACUUCUAGAA